CCUACGGGUGGCAGCAGUGGGGAAUAUUGGACAAUGGGCGAAAGCCUGAUCCAGCCAUGCCGCGUGUGUGAAGAAGGCCUUCGGGUUGUAAAGCACUUUCAGUGGGGAAGAAAGCCUUGGGGCUAAUACCCUCGAGGAAGGACAUCACCCACAGAAGAAGCACCGGCUAACUCCGUGCCAGCAGCCGCGGUAAUACGGAGGGUGCGAGCGUUAAUCGGAAUUACUGGGCGUAAAGCGCGCGUAGGCGGUCUGAUAAGCCGGUUGUGAAAGCCCCGGGCUCAACCUGGGAACGGCAUCCGGAACUGUCAGUCUAGAGUGCAGGAGAGGAAGGUAGAAUUCCCGGUGUAGCGGUGAAAUGCGUAGAGAUCGGGAGGAAUACCAGUGGCGAAGGCGGCCUUCUGGACUGACACUGACGCUGAGGUGCGAAAGCGUGGGUAGCAAACAGGAUUAGAUACCCCUGUAGUC
rnacentral:rRNA from 1 species